rnacentral:rRNA from 1 species
AACGAACGCUGGCGGCAUGCCUAACACAUGCAAGUCGAACGAGACCUUCGGGUCUAGUGGCGCACGGGUGCGUAACGCGUGGGAACCUGCCCUUAGGUUCGGAAUAACUCCCCGAAAGGGGUGCUAAUACCGGAUAAUGUCUUCGGCCCAAAGAUUUAUCGCCUUUGGAUGGGCCCGCGUUGGAUUAGCUAGUUGGUAGGGUAAAAGCCUACCAAGGCGACGAUCCAUAGCUGGUCUGAGAGGAUGAUCAGCCACACUGGGACUGAGACACGGCCCAGACUCCUACGGGAGGCAGCAGUGGGGAAUAUUGGACAAUGGGCGAAAGCCUGAUCCAGCAAUGCCGCGUGAGUGAUGAAGGCCUUAGGGUUGUAAAGCUCUUUUAACCGGGAUGAUAAUGACAGUACCGGGAGAAUAAGCUCCGGCUAACUCCGUG